rnacentral:misc_RNA from 1 species
UGCAGCGGUGAGCAGCUAUGC